UGCAUGAAGUCGGAAUUGCUAGUAAUUGCGGAUCAGCAUGCCGCGGUGAAUACGUUCCCGGGCCUUGUACACACCGCCCGUCACACCAUGGGAGCCGGUAAUACCCGAAGUCAGUAGUCCAACCUCGUGAGGACGCUGCCGAAGGUAGGAUUGGCGACUGGGGUGAAGUCGUAACAAGGUACC
rnacentral:rRNA from 1 species